ACUACAAGAUGUCGUUGUGAGUUUAAUAUGAAUUACACUAACGUUGUGAAAUCCCCCCUUUUGGUGUGGAUCAAUAUUACAUUAAUCGAUAAUGGGUUUGUUUCACGGCUAAGUGAAACAAUUUAUAUUACACCAUUUUGCAUGAGGUUUUCCACGCUCAAGUAAUAGAUUUUAAGGAUAAAUCUCAAUAAUGAUUGAUGUUAUUUGUGGAAAUUUGGUCUGUUUAUCCUUGGCCCAUUUAUCAGCGACACAACAUAAAUCCAAACUUAACCCUUAUAAAUAGAAUUUUGAAUUUCAUCAAACAUAAAUUUUACACUUCAUGUUGGUACUAUGACUUUAUCCAAAUUCACUCAGUAAACAAAGUGUUGAAUAUGGCGUACGAAAGUUCGUAGCUGUCAUUAAUUUUAUUUCAAACUUCAACAAAUUAUAGCGAGAUGAAUGUAUGAUCGAUUAGAUGUUGAAUCGACGGAGUACGAUAAUUAAAGAGGAAGAUUUCAGUCGCCUUCGCAUUCACAACAGCUCGGAAGAUUGGGGUGUUACACUCUUGCAUGUACGAGGAGUUGCUGACCACUACACCACCGAGGAAACAAUCUGUGUGGGAUUGUUAUGGGGUCCAGACAACUGGCCCUUCGAGGGGGGGGGGAUCUGAAGGAUAGGAGGUCACUGUUCGGGAGGUAGUCAUCACCGUCGGUUCUUGGAAUUCCCUCACAAGUUUGUGGAUAUCAGGAUAAAACGUCAGCACGACCGGAUUUAAACUGAUUAUGCGUUCAUGUGUAUCAAGCAAAAAACUGUUAUGGAUAGCCAUUUUGUCCGUCAGGUUUGGGUCACGUGUCGAUAAUUGUCUGUUAGGUUCUGAAUGUGGAACUAGGAUUAAAGGUUGGGUGCAGAGUGCCCUCGGUUUAAUGGUAUAUGUUUAUUCUACCUGUGUAUGAUUGACGACCACCGAGUGUGUUGUGGAUGCGAAAGUGUUUGCUUCAUCGUGAAAAUUUCUGUCCACCAA